UAUGGCCAUAUCACGUUGAACACCGGUUCGCGUACGAUCGAUGAAAUUAAGCAACAUUCAACCUGGUCAGUACUUAGAAGGGUGACCUUUUGGGAAUACCAAGAGCUGCU